rnacentral:misc_RNA from 1 species
GAAAUGCGAUAAGUAAUGUGAAUUGCAGAAUUCAGUGAAUCAUCGAAUCUUUGAACGCACCUUGUGCUCCUUGGUAUUCCUUGGAGCAUGCCUGUUUGAGUAUCAUGAAAUCUUCAAAGUAAAUCUUUUGUUAACUCAAUUGGUUUCUACUUUGGUAUUGGAGGUCUUUGCAGCUUCACACCUGCUCCUCUUUGUUCAUUAGCUGGAUCUCAGUGUUAUGCUUGGUUCCACUCGGCGUGAUAAGUUAUCUAUCGCUGAGGACACUGUAAAAGGUGGCCAAGGUAAAUGCAGAUGAACCGCUUCUAAUAGUCCAUUGACUUGGACAAUACUUUUAUGAUCUGAUCUCAAAUCAGGUAGGACUACCCGCUGAACUUAAGC